CGUGGUGCGGGAGUCCUGGGGCCUUCCCGUAGCUGCCAGUGGGUUUCCCUCAUUUAGCCCACUGCACCCUCCCCAGCGCAUCUGAGGCUCGGAAAGGUGAGGUGGUUUCCUCAAGGCCCCCAGCCCACCCUGGAGGAGACGAGAACUUGGCCCCUUCAGCUUCCUGCCGGCCGCAGGCCGUUGAAUCAGCGGACUCUGAACUUCUUGGAAAACAGCGGCUGUGAGCGCCAACUACAUGCCAAGCGCGGGAGUCCCCUGCCUCCUCGAGCAGGCAGAGAUGACGCAGAUGUGGAAACAGAGGCCCAGAGAGGCUUAAAGCUUGCCCAGGGUCACACAGCCCUAACACUGCAGAACUGACACUUGAGUCCAGAGAAGAGCAAGUCGAGACCACAGCUGGGCAGAGGCCGGCGAGGUGAGUGGUGGCCUGAGAGGCAGGAGGGAAAUGGGGCGAGUAGGGUGGGUGGUUCCUGAGGGAAACGGGGCCAGGUUCACCUGGGAGUUGUUGUGGCGGGGAGGGAAUGCAUGAGUCCCAUUUUGCAGAGAGAGAAACUCAGGCUCAGAGAGGGGCAGCCCGUGUCUGAAGUCACACAGCUCAGGGAGGCAGAGCAGGGAUUAAAGACCCUGAGCCUUCAUGGGCUCUGGCCUUGUCCUGGCUGCUAGGUCAGGACAGGCUGAUCUCCACUACUAAAUCACGGCUCAUGUUGCCUCUUCCAGGAAGCCUUUCUUGACUGACUAGGCAAGUGAGAUGAGGGAGCAAUCGCCCCCUCUGCCCUGGGUCAGGUUGCCUGGCUGGGCCCCCUGUGACCUGCCGCUCCCAGGAGAGCCACCACCCAUACCUCAUUCCUCCAAGGCCUGAGUAAGGCACCACGCAAGCUGGGAAAGAACAUUAAUUGAGCGCCUACUGCAUUCUAGCUGCUUGACCUACUUUGCCUCUUGAGAAAUGUAGCUACUGUCCUAUGUAGAGUGGGGUUGUGAGGCAGGAGCACGAGGUGGGUCCUCAAAGUGGCCAUGCAAAACCCCAGGGGAAGGUGUGGCCACAUUGGACACCCUGUACCACCUCCCGACAAGUCCUGCCUGGCCAGUGUUGCCCUGGGCAAAGGCGGAUAAAAUCACGGGCCAAGUGCAUAGAUUCCUCAGUGCGCUCCCCAUCCCCUGCCUGUAAGUGUGGGCCCCGCCCUGGGCCCUUUAUCUGGAUUAUUUCAUAAC
rnacentral:lncRNA from 1 species